rnacentral:rRNA from 1 species
AUUGAACGCUGGCGGCAGGCCUAACACAUGCAAGUCGAGCGAGCGGCGGACGGGUGAGUAAUGUCUGGGAAACUGCCUGAUGGAGGGGGCUAACUACUGGAAACGGUAGCUAAUACCGCAUACCAUCAGAUGUGCCCCGAUGGGAUUAGAUCGUCGGUGGGGUAACGGAUCACCUAGGCGACGAUCCCUAGCUGGGCUGAGAGGAUGACCAGCCACACGGGAACUGAGACACGGGCCAGACUCCUACGGGAGGCAGCAGUGGGGAAUAUUGCACAAUGGGCGCAAGCCUGAUGCAGCCAUGCCGCGUGUGUGAAGAAGGCCUUCGGGUUGUAAAGCACUUUCAGCGGGGAGGCGUUACCCGCAGAAGAAGCACCGGCUAACUCCGUGCCAGCCGCCGCGGUAAUUC